rnacentral:ncRNA from 1 species
CUUGCCGUUGUUUUUGAUUAAAAUUACACAUGCAAGUAUCCGCACACCCGUGAAAAUGCCCUAAACAAAACGGAGCGGGCAUCAGGCACGAACCCUUCAGCCCAAGACGCCUUGCUACGCCACACCCCCACGGGACAUCAGCAGUGACAAAUAUUAAGCCAUGAGCGAUAAACGACACACUUUAAAGCUUGACUUAGUUAUAAUCAUACCAGGGCCGGCCAAUCUCGUGCCAGCCGCCGCGGUUAUACGAAAGGCCCGAAACAACGACAAAACGGCGUAAAUUGUGGCUAGAAUCAUUACAGCUUUAAACUAAGAAAUAAACCUCUACCUUACCGUAAAACCCAGGUGGCAUGAAACUUCUUACCAAAAAGCAAUUUGAACCCACGAAAACUAAGAAACAAACUAGGAUUAGAUACCCUACUAUGCUUAGAUGUAAAUAAGACGACAACCAACAACUAAACGUCCGCCAGAGAACUACAAGCGAAAAGCUUAAAACUCAAAAGACUUGACGGUGUCCCACACCCGACUUAGAGGAGCCUGUCCUAUAAUCGAUAACCCACGAUAGACCCCACCACCUUUUGCCAAAUCCGCCUAUAUACCGCCGUCGCAAAUCUACCUUUCAAAAGAACAACAGUAGGUACAACAGUAAUAACACUAAAACGUCAGGUCAAGGUGUAGCUAACAAGGUGGAAGAGAUGGGCUACAUUCUUUACUUCUAUAAAGCACACAGGAAAAACCUUGAAACAGGUUUCAAAAGGAGGAUUUAACAGUAAAACUGGCAAGAAAGCCAACUUUAAACCCGCUCUGGGACGCGUACACACCGCCCGUCACC